AUGAUUAGCCACGGCGGGACUCCCCUCUGCAGCGUCCCGUGUCUCGGCAGCAGCCUGCAGCACAGAAAGAGCCAGCCCACCCCUUCCAAGUCGCUUCCUGCCUUGCUCCGUCUUUGUAUUUACCGUCCAGGUUUCUGCCUUUCUGGGUUCGCAUUAGGCAUGUGGCCUUCCACGACCUGCUCUCAGACAAAACGGCUAUGCGAUACUGGGAACAAGUGGAAUUGGUCGUUUUGCUUUAUCGGAUCAAGGAAUUUCCAACGCAGCCUGUCUCCAAGUUGUGGGAAGUCUCAUAGGCAUUUCCCCCCCGCACACACUCACCUAAAACAGAAAUGUUUAUGAAGACACUUCCUGAAAGUUGGAGCAGACGUUACAAUGACCUGAUCUUCCCUGAUGCCAUUUUAGAUUUUUGCCGCUGAAGCCCAACACCAAAUGAGGCAAUUAUAAACUACUUUUUUUAACAAUUCAGAUAUGCAACCUUUGGAGAAGUGAAUGAACCGUACCCUUUUCUCUUUCUCCGCUCUUUCCACCAUAUAAAAUGGCAUAAUUACAUAGCAGCUAUAUUGUUUUACAAAUGUCUCUAUGCGUGAAAUUAGUAUGCUUCCAAAAAAAACCCCAAAACCCAAAGACUCUCCAAUGUUUGUUACAGUAAGUUAAGCCUUUGACAUUUUAUCCUCUGAAAAAUAUCCUUGCAUGGGAUCUAGUUAUCCAGUUCAUCAGCAUGCAUAAUUUCUUCCACUACUCCUAGCUUUGAAUGGAGAUUGGAUUUUGUAAAGAUGUCUGCACAGGAGUUUUACGUAUUAAGCUUUAUGAGAAGAAAAGGUUAAAAAUUGUUGUUACAGCAGUAGUGGAAAGCUAUAGCGUAAAUGCUCACUACUUUAAAAUAUGAAAAAUGGUGUCUUUUAAAUAUCAAAGGGAUUAGUAUUAAUCCAGCACUUGUGAUUUUCUUAAAUCAUGUUAUUUGCAUAAUAAUACUCACCACCUGCUAUAUCUUCAAAGCGCUUUUCAGACAUUAACUAAUUGAUCUUUGUAACACCCCUGUGAUGUAAAGACCUGUUAUUAUCCCCACUCUGCAGAUGUGGAAACAGAGACCCAGAAUAGUUCAAGUAACUUGUUCAAAACAGCACGGAGACGGUGUCAUCGCCAGCGUUGGUUUCUAUUGUUCUAUCCUAUGGGAGUUCCCGCUCGCAGCACUUACAGGGGUAUCUGAUCUUUCUUCUUGUCUGCCUUUAUUUAAAAGCAUGAAAACAAACUGAGUUACUUCUUUGCGUCUUUGGAGUAGGGUUGCGGGGUGUGUAUUUGUUUUGAUUUUGAGAUUUUUCUGUUGAAUAAUUUUGCUCUG
rnacentral:lncRNA from 1 species